AGCCUUGAUGACUGCUGAAAAAGCUAUUAAGAAAUACUGACUAUUACAAAUCUAUCUCUACAGUGAAACACAAAAGAAGAAAACAGAUUGUUGUGGUCAGUAAGGACAAACCACUAACCUCCAUUAAGGCUGAUACAGUCCAUGCUUUCCUCUCGGAAUGCUACAUGUACACAAUGCAGGCAACCUCAGGCCGCUGUGGGAGAACGGAGUCCCCCAAAUGGCGGGAGGUGUCCCG
rnacentral:lncRNA from 1 species